rnacentral:lncRNA from 1 species
CCUUCCCUGUGAUUCUGGGCUCCAGGGAACCCUUCACGAAGCUCAGGACCAGCUCAGAACCUGCCGGGUGUUUUGGCAGUCCUGUCUUCAUUUCCUCCAUCAGAAAAAGAGAUUUCCCAAAUUCUCAUCUCUCUGUUCUUCGCACUGAUCGGUUGGGGAAAUUCUUGAACAUCUUUGAGGCAUUUCUUUACUUAAGUUACAUCCAGGAGAGAGGGUUGUUUUUAUAUGACGAUACUUGGUAACUGUGCUUUGCACAUACCACACCUCAAUGGGGUUUCUUAUAAAACCAGCACUCCAGCACAGGUUUUUCCUCAUCAAAUCAGCCUUUAUGAGAAAUGCCAGACUAAGUGGGCAGAAGAGAGGAACCUGUGGACUGCUGCUAUCUGGGCUCUUGCACGAAUGACAAUGAAGCCAAAUGUACAGAUAUUAUCAGUUUCCUGCACUUCAACAGAAGGAUCAUCUAUGGUAAGUUGCCUGGUCUCAUCUCC